UUGGUGUUGCUAACAUGGUUUUAAAAGAGACAAUCAAAGGAGUAAGUACAGGGCGAAAGCUAGUGCACUCUAGAUAAGGUAGGGAGUGCAGCACUCUUUAAAAGUUAACCUGCUAUCAAAAGUAAUUAGGUGCUUCCACUAUUGUUCUGUCUAGCCACAGAUUUUGACGCUCUUGAACCCACCCCAUUCCACAUCUACCAUAAAUGGACCUUCAAAGCC